rnacentral:rRNA from 1 species
UAUUCCUGAUGCCCUUACGCCCCUUCCCACAACCUCGCGCUCUUCCUCUUCCAUAAUUCCACCAAGAUCAAACGCCUGACGUGAACAGCCAUAUGCGAGCACGCAGAUCUCUCUUUUUUGGGGGGCGCGCGCAGAUCUCUCCUUUUUUUGCGGCGGGCAGAUCUCUCCCAUCUGGUGGUUCGUACUUCACCGAAGAGUUUGUCGUUCCCUUUAGGGCUUGUUCGGUUAAUCCUCUCCCCAAAAGGAUUGAAGGGGAUUGGCAAGGAUUAGUUUGUAUUUUGACUUACAAGAGGUUUAAAUCCCCCUCAAACUCCUUCAAUCCACUCGGAUUCGCACGCAAUCGAACAAGGCCUUAGCUAUCUCCGGCGAUUCACCAUGGAAGCCAAUUCUGCUUGCCUAGCUCCGUACAAUAGCUUCUUUCCCUCACAG